UGUCUGGUAGUUAAGAUAAAUAAUAGUGGAUUGCAAAUCUAAAGUGGCGUUUUAAUGCUCAGACUU
rnacentral:tRNA from 1 species